AGAAUGUUUCCGUUUCUCAGAUUAUGCUGGGGAAGGUUUUCCGGUUUAUCCCGGAGGGCUUGUAGCUCAGUUGGUUAGAGCGCGCGCUUGAUAAGCGUGAGGUCGGAGGUUCAAGUCCUCCCAGGCCCACCAAUUUAAUUAAGUGCUGAUAAAGUGCUUAUUAUAAGGUGCACACAACAUGUGUAGUUUAUCAAUUAUGGUGAAGCAA
rnacentral:misc_RNA from 1 species